rnacentral:rRNA from 1 species
UACGUAGGGGGCGAGCGUUAUCCGGAAUUACUGGGCGUAAAGGGCUCGUAGGCGGUUUGUCGCGUCGGGAGUGAAAUCCACUGGCUUAACUGGUGGCUUGCUUUCGAUACGGGCAGACUGGAGGUAUGCAGGGGAGAACGGAAUUCCUGGUGUAGCGGUGAAAUGCGCAGAUAUCAGGAGGAACACCGGUGGCGAAGGCGGUUCUCUGGGCAUGUCCUGACGCUGAGGAGCGAAAGUGUGGGGAGCGAACAGG